ACGUAAAGCGCAUGCAGGUUGGUUUAGUUAAGUCAGAUGUAGAAACGGCCCGGGGCUACCAACCCGUACGGUAAUUGACUAUUUAGAAACGUGGACAAACUAGAGUACUGUAGGAGGGGGUAGAAUUUCAGGUGUAGCGGUGAAAUGCGUAGAGAUCUGAAGGAAUACCGGUGGCGAAGGCGGCCCCCUGGACAGAUACUGACACUCAGAUGCGAAAGCGUGGGGAGCAAACAGGAUUAGAUACCCUGGUAG
rnacentral:rRNA from 1 species